UCCGGUAUAUCACCGGCAGUCUCUCUAGAGUCCCCGACAUUACUCGCUGGCAACUAAAGACAAGGGUUGCGCUCGUUGCGGGACUUAACCCAACAUCUCACGACACGAGCUGACGACAGCCAUGCAGCACCUCUACGGAAUCGGGUUGCCCCAGCCCCUGUUUCCAGGAGUUUACUCCGCAGUUCAAGCCCAGGUAAGGUUCUUCGCGUUGCGUCGAAUUAAACAACAUCCUCCACCGCUUGUGCGGGCCCCCGUCAAUUCCUUUGAGUUUCAACCUUGCGGUCGUACUCCCCAGGCGGCAUACUUAAUGGGUUACCGUCGGCACAGGGGGGGUCGAUACCCCCCACACCUAGUAUGCACCGUUUACGGCGUGGACUAC
rnacentral:misc_RNA from 1 species